CCUACGGGAGGCAGCAGUAGGGAAUAUUGGGCAAUGGGCGCGAGCCUGACCCAGCCAUGCCGCGUGCCGGAUGAAGGCCUUCUGGGUUGUAAACGGCUUUUCUCAGGGAAGAAAAAGGUGAUGCGUCACAAACUGACGGUACCUGAGGAAUAAGCACCGGCUAACUCCGUGCCAGCAGCCGCGGUAAUACGGAGGGUGCAAGCGUUGUCCGGAUUUAUUGGGUUUAAAGGGUGCGUAGGUGGCCCGUUAAGUCCGGGGUGAAAGCCCACAGCUCAACUGUGGAACUGCCCUGGAUACUGGCGGGCUUGAGUCCAGACGAGGUUGGCGGAAUGGAAGAUGUAGCGGUGAAAUGCAUAGAUAUCUUCCAGAACCCCGAUUGCGUAGGCAGCUGACUAGGCUGGUACUGACACUGAGGCACGAAAGCGUGGGGAGCGAACAGGAUUAGAUACCCUGGUAGUCCACGCCGUAAACGAUGGAUACUCGCUGGUGGCGAUAGACAGUCACUGGCUUAGCGAAAGCGGUAAGUAUCCACCUGGGGAGUACGCUCGCAAGAGUGAAACUCAAAUGAAAUUGACGG
rnacentral:rRNA from 1 species